AUACCGCAUAAGAUAGUAGAUUCGCAUGAAGUUUCAAUUAAAGGAGCAAUCCGCUAUGAGAUGGACCCGCGGCGCAUUAGCUAGUUGGUGAGGUAACGGCUCACCAAGGCGACGAUGCGUAGCCGACCUGAGAGGGUGAUCGGCCACAUUGGAACUGAGACACGGCCCAGACUCCUACGGGAGGCAGCAGUGGGGAAUAUUGCACAAUGGGGGAAACCCUGACGCAGCAACGCCGCGUGAGUGAUGAAGGCCUUCGGGUUGUAAAGCUCUGUCUUUGGGGACGAUAAUGACGGUACCCAAGGAGGAAGCCACGGCUAACUACGUGCCAGCAGCCGCGGUAAUACGUAGGUGGCAAGCGUUGUCCGGAUUUACUGGGCGUAAAGGGAGCGUAGGCGGAUUUUUAAGUGGGAUGUGAAAUCCCCGGGCUCAACCUGGGUGCUGCAUUCCAAACUGGAUAUCUAGAGUGCAGGAGGGGAAAGCGGAUUUCCUAGUGUAGCGGUGAUAUGCGUA
rnacentral:rRNA from 1 species